CCUCUGUGUGUUGCGUGCUGUCGUUACCGAUGAUGCUUCACCAGCUAGUUGGGAGUUACGUGAGGCUUUGCUCACUGGUGUUUUUAACCAUGCUCCGUGAAGGAAAUGUGCAGAGUUUUCAUGUAAAAUCUAAUAGGCUUUUAUAUGCAGGCUUCUCUGCUGGGUUUCGGACUCAGGAACUGGUACUUGUGGCUGGAUCCUUCCAGAAAGGGGACGUCAUCCGUGCAUGUAUAAAGAAAAUGCCCAUUGAUUUUCUCUUAGCCACUGACAGAAGUGCGGGUGGAGGUCAGGCCAGACUGGCAUGGCUGCCUCUUGUGAGUUCACCAGUUGAGCUGACGCCAAGGUGAGCCCAGUCUUUAAAUUCCCUUGCGUGCCUCAAGGUCUGCAUCAUCCAAUUUGUGCUCGUUAGAAGUACAGGAUGAAGCUGGACGCUGCCCACCAAGUGGCAGAUGCUGUUCUCUUUGCUGCACAUCUGUAACGAGAGGCUCUAGAGUAAUACAAACGUACUGGUCAGUAAAGGCAGCAAAAUAACGCUUUCCUUUCAAACACCGAAACUGGUCAAAGGGUGUGAUUUGUCUAUCGCUGCCUGUGUUCUCUUUGACCCAGGGAGGCUGUAUGGAGCUGAUGACUUCUUGCCUGUGUUGACAUAUGUGCUGGCCCAGGGUGAUAUGCUGGAGCUGGAUACUGAAACUGAACACAUGGUGGAAUUGCUGGAUCCAUCUUUGCUGCAUGGAGAAGAACUGCCUUCGUGUUGCAUUCCAGGAAGUUAACGGUGCAUGUACAGGGAAGACCUUACUAGUAAGACCCUGUAUCACUACCGCAGAUGUAUGUCAGCUUUGUGCUGAAAAGUUUAUGGAGUGGACGAUCCAGAAGAAUACAGCCUGUUUCUUUUUGUUGAUGACACCCGGCAGCAACUGACAGAAGUACCGGGUAAGGCGGAAGGCUCUGUGGCUGGGGAAGAGUGGCUUGGACGUGUUGCUGCGCUCUCUGUUGCACCAGAAUUUCAACGGCUGGGUUUGGCUGCUAAAUUGAUGGAACUACUGGGAGAAAUUUCAGGAAAGUGAGUACCAUGCUUAUCUUUAAUCUUCUAAAAGUAACCUCUCAACUGACAUGGCUUAGGUAUUUGACUUGCAUGGAAGAGACCCAGAAUCUUGCUUUAAGUAGUGUUCUGACUCGCUGAGGAUUCCCUGUAAUUAGAGAACAAGACUAAAAAUACCGUGUGGUGGCGUAAGAUCUCAGGGUUUCUAUGAAAGCUAACUUUCCAGAAUGAGUAGGGUGUAGCCUGAAUUCCAAUAGAGAUACUGUAUAAAAAAAGGUCCUUGUCUUGACAGCGAGAGAGUUUCGUGG